AACGUAGGGGACAAGCGUUAUCCGGAUUUACUGGGCGUAAAGCGCCCGUAGGCGGUUGGAUAAGUUGGACGUGAAAGCUCCCGGCUUAACUGGGAGAGGCCGUUCAAAACUGUUUGACUAGAGUAAGGAAGAGGAGAGCGGAAUUCCCGGUGUAGUGGUGGAAUGCGUAGAUAUCGGGAGGAACACCAGUGGCGAAAGCGGCUCUCUGGUCCUAAACUGACGCUGAGGGGCGAAAGCGUGGGGAGCGAACGGG
rnacentral:rRNA from 1 species